CACAACAGCAACAACAACAGUCAACGCAACAACAAUCGCAGCAGCAACAAACACAACAACAAGAUCCAUCACCGAGACAUGUGAGAUAGCCUAAAUUUUGGAGUCAAUUCAGUUCACAGGAUGUUAUCUCCAUGAAUUGUAGUGUACGCUUAAAAACAAACGAAAUUGAUUUGGCAUUAUUA